rnacentral:rRNA from 1 species
CCUACGGGAGGCAGCAGUGGGGAAUCUUGGACAAUGGGCGCAAGCCUGAUCCAGCCAUGCCGCGUGAGUGAUGAAGGCCUUAGGGUCGUAAAGCUCUUUCGCCAGGGAUGAUAAUGACAGUACCUGGUAAAGAAACCCCGGCUAACUCCGUGCCAGCAGCCGCGGUAAUAC